AGUACAAAGUGCCCUAGAUGACAGCCCAUCAUCUCACCUGCCUUCUGUGCUCUAGGUGUUGAAAAUAAACCACUUGUCACAUAGAACAGAAAUGUAUCUCAGAGCUUGCAUGAGAUCUGGGAACUUCAUACCUGGCAGUUGUACUGGAUGACUGUUGCACUGAAUCUCCCUCUCACCACGAGACGUUUCAGAAGCACCCCAGAGGUGGUCCCAGUGGUCAAGAACAGCAUCCCAGUCACACGCAGAGCACAGCCUGGGGAGAGGAUGGGGAAGGCAGCUGAGAGCAUCGCCUUGUGUCAUGGCUGGAAGCUGCUCAAAACACUGUGGAGGUUUGAGGUGACCUCUCCCCAUCCUCUGACCCUGAUCCUCACCUCACUGUUUCCCACGUCAAAGUUCAGACAGUCCUCACUGAUCUCACGUUCAUCUUCCCACUGCUGGGUCCCUUGCUGUUCUGCAGGUCUUCCCUGCUGUGUCACAUUGGUUUCCCCCUGCUUUGCAUGGAUCUGCGUGGUGAGGGCAGGGGGUAGCCACACGUUCCUCUCUGCCUUGCCCCUACCCUGAGCGGGUUGGAGGGAACCAUCUGAGAAGGAACCGGGCGACUCCUUCAGCCCUGCAGAGCCAGCUGACCUCCUGCAAUGUUCCAGCUGCGACAGAGGAGCCAUCCCUGCUGUGUUUUGCCAGUUCCAAGACAAGACACAGUGUGACAAACAGGAAAGAGACCCAGAGAAACCCAACCACUUGUCUGAAAACUCCAGGACUUUCAGGACUGACUCAGAUGCUGUAUCAUUCUUCCCCUGCUCUGAAAGGCACAAGAGCACACUGCACCUGGACCCCACCUGGACCACACCUGGAUACUUGCAUCUGGGAACUGGUUUAAAACUAGCAUCUGCCUCAGCCUGGGCACAGCUUGCACAUCGCAAAACCACCUAGAAGAAAGAGGAUCCCCAGGAAGCCCAGAUCUAGAAAAGGACAAGCUCUUUAUACAAAUGCCCAGAGG